UGCGUAGGUGGUUUCUUAAGUCAGAGGUGAAAGGCUACGGCUCAACCGUAGUAAGCCUUUGAAACUGGGAAACUUGAGUGCAGGAGAGGAGAGUGGAAUUCCUAGUGUAGCGGUGAAAUGCGUAGAUAUUAGGAGGAACACCAGUGGCGAAGGCGGCUUACUGGACGGUAACUGACGUUGAGGCUCGAAAGCGUGGGGAGCAAACA
rnacentral:rRNA from 1 species